AGAGUUUGAUCCUGGCUCAGAACGAACGCUGGCGGCAGGCCUAACACAUGCAAGUCGAACGCCCCGCAAGGGGAGUGGCGCACGGGUGAGUAACACGUGGGAACCUACCUUCUGGUACGGAACAACCAAGGGAAACUUUGGCUAAUACCGUAUACGACCUCCGGGUGAAAGAUUUAUCGCCGGAAGAGGGGCCCGCGUCCGAUUAGGUAGUUGGUGGGGUAACGGCCUACCAAGCCGACGAUCGGUAGCUGGUCUGAGAGGAUGACCAGCCACACUGGGACUGAGACACGGCCCAGACUCCUACGGGAGG
rnacentral:rRNA from 1 species